AUUGAACGCUGGCGGCAUGCCUUACACAUGCAAGUCGAACGGUAACGGGCCUUCGGGUGCCGUCGAGUGGCGAACGGGUGAGUAAUACAUCGGAACGUGCCCGAUCGUUGGGGAUAACGUGUCGAAAGCUUUGCUAAUACCGCAUACGAUCUACGGUUUUAAGCAGGGGACCGCAAUGCCUUGCGCGGACUGUUCGGCCGAUGGCAGAUUAGGUAGUUGGUGGGUUAAAAGCUUACCAAGCCGACGAUCUGUAGCUGGUCUGAGAGGAUGAUCAGCCACACUGGGAGUGAGACACGGCCCAGACUCGUACGGGAGGCAGCAGUGGGGAAUUUUGGACAAUGGGCGAAAGCAUGAUCGAGCAAUGCCGCGUGAAGGAUGAGGGCCUUAGGGUUGUAAACUGCUUUUGUAAGGAACGAAAAGAAGUCUUAUAAAACAGGAGGGUCAUGACGGUACCGUAAGAAUAAGCACCGGCUAACUACGUG
rnacentral:rRNA from 1 species